AUUACCGCGGCUGCUGGCACGUAGUUAGCCGUGGCUUUCUCGAUAGGUACCGUCAAGGUACCGGCAUUUCCUCCGAUACUUGUUCUUCCCUAACAACAGAGUUUUACGAUCCGAAGACCUUCUUCACUCACGCGGCGUUGCUCCGUCAGACUUUCGUCCAUUGCGGAAGAUUCCCUACUGCUGCCUCCCGUAGG
rnacentral:rRNA from 1 species